CUUGAUCGAGCCCAGCCACAGCGGCCGGUCCUCUGCCGCCCGCUCCUGGCCGUACGUCGCGAGCAGCGCCUGCGCCUC
rnacentral:antisense_RNA from 1 species